GACGAACGCUGGCGGCGUGCUUAACACAUGCAAGUCGAACGGAAAGGCCCUGCUUUUGUGGGGUGCUCGAGUGGCGAACGGGUGAGUAACACGUGAGUACCUGCCCUUGACUUUGGGAUAACUUCAGGAAACUGGGGCUAAUACCGGAUAGGAGCUCCUGCUGCAUGGUGGGGGUUGGAAAGUUUCGGCGGUUGGGGAUGGACUCGCGGCUUAUCAGCUUGUUGGUGGGGUAGUGGCUUACCAAGGCUUUGACGGGUAGCCGGCCUGAGAGGGUGACCGGCCACAUUGGGGCUGAGAUACGGCCCAGACUCCUACGGGAGGCAGCAGUGGGGAAUAUUGCACAAUGGGCGGAAGCCUGAUGCAGCAACGCCGCGUGCGGGAUGACGGCCUUCGGGUUGUAAACCGCUUUCGCCUGUGACGAAGCGUGAGUGACGGUAAUGGGUAAAGAAACACCGGCUAACUACGU
rnacentral:rRNA from 1 species